rfam:Pteropus alecto contig9843, whole genome shotgun sequence.
CCAAAGGCUCUUUUCAGAGCCGCCCCACUCGUCACGAAAAGAACUGU